rnacentral:rRNA from 1 species
AACGAACGCUGGCGGCAGGCUUAACACAUGCAAGUCGAACGCGUGCAGCAAUGCACGAGUGGCGCACGGGUGAGUAACGCGUGGAUAUCUGCCUUUUGGUUCGGAAUAACCCCGGGAAACUGGGGCUAAUACCGGAUGGUUCCUACGGGAUAAAGAUUUAUCGCCAAAAGAUGAGUCCGCGUCCGAUUAGCUAGUUGGUGAGGUAAUGGCUCACCAAGGCGACGAUCGGUAGCUGGUCUGAGAGGACGAUCAGCCACACUGGGACUGAGACACGGCCCAGACUCCUACGGGAGGCAGCAGUGGGGAAUAUUGGACAAUGGGGGCAACCCUGAUCCAGCCAUGCCGCGUGAGUGAUGAAGGCCUUCGGGUUGUAAAGCUCUUUUGGCGGGGACGAUGAUGACGGUACCCGCAGAAUAGGCCCCGGCUAACUUCG